UUCCGAAUGAAUAGGGAGGAGUUUUGCUUCCUUGUGGAGCGCCUUUGUGGAUUGGCCAAGAAGACACCGUAUUUCGAACGGCCAUUCCUCUUGAUAAGCGGAUUUCAAUCGCAUUAUACACUUUGGGAUCGUCUGCGGAGUAUCGGAUAGUGGGCACGUUGUUUGGUGUGUCAAAAGCAAUGGUCUGCAAAAUAUUGCUAGAAUUUUGCCAUGAGACAUGUAGAGUUCUGUCAUCCGACUACCUCCCGCAUAACUUCCUCACGCAAUCCAAAUUGGAGGAAUGCGUUAAAGGCUUCGAAGAAUUUGGCUUCCCACAAUGCUUAGGCGCGAUUGAUGGCUGUCAUAUUGAAAUUCAUCCAUCUGCAGCUGAUGUAGCUGACUAUUUUAAUUAUUAAGGCUGGAACUCAACUAUAUUGUUUGCAAUGGUUGAUGCUCGAUACAGAUUUCUUUAAAUAAACGUUGGAGGCCCAGGACGCUGUCAUGACUCCCAAAUUUUUGAGCGAAGUAGGCUACGUCAAUUAUUAGAUGAGUCGACACUAUUAAAGAAUAACUCGCGCAUUAUUUCGGGAGUCGAUGUGCCUGUUGUGGUGAUUGGUGAUUCGGCUUUCAAAUUUUCAAUUUUUCAAAUACUGAAAAUGUAAACUAUAAAGGCUUUUAAUUAUACUUUGGCCAAAAUCACGCAGGGUGGUCGAAAAUGCUUUCGGCCAUUUAAAAGCUCGAUUUCGGCGAAUCGGAAAAAAGCCUUGAUAACCAUUACAGUAAAACGGCUGUUGUUAUUACAGCAUGUUGCAUCUUACAUAAUUUCACCAAACGUGAAAACAUUGAUAUUCCGGGAAUUUUGGAACCAAGCCCCGAUGAACCACAACAGCCCGAGAAAAUCUUAUGAAGACGACUACGAAACAAUUGAUUUCGAUAGCGAUGCUAAUUCGUUCAGCAAUUUCAUCAUACAUUGUAAACAAUAAAUAACUGAAAUAUAAAAAAUUUGUAAUUUGUAACGCAUUUAUUUCAAUUUUUUAGU